AGGGGAGAGAGAGAAAGAGAGAGAGAGAGGAAGAGAGAGGAAGAGGAAAAAAGAAAAAUGAAUCGAUGAAGUGACCGCUAUUUGCCUUUCAGAUUAAUGGAGAUUGCGCGAACGUUAUCAAAGCACCGAACCAGCUUUCACUGUCGAACGUGGUAAAUUUAUAACGGAUCACAGGAAAUUCCUUUUAAGCCUCCAACCUCCGAGAUCGUUUAAGAAUCCCGCGCCGGAUUUCGCGCCGGUGGAAUAGUUAAACACCUCGUUUUGCGUUAUCUUUUUGAAAUCCAUCGCCACAUAAAUCGAUAAUCGUUUUAUUUUAUUAAAUUGCUUGCUUUUAUCUCGAAUCGUUCGAGAGUCUA